AAACCCAAGAUGCUGAAAACUGGUGGAAGCAAGAAUGAAAGACCGGUAAUCCCAGAAUCCAACAGCGUGUGCCACAGGAGAAUUCCUAUUCGAAAACAGGUUCUCAAACUGGUAAGGCUGGAAGAUAUCAGAAAUUGUUUCAUUACAACAGUACUCGGACCAGUCUAAGCACUCCCAUCCUCUUUUACACAAUUUCUUUCCUUUCACAGUCUUCACUAUUGUCUUCUCCGAAUCAUCUCCGUUCACAACAAGUGCUAAAUUAACCAAAGCAAGUGCAAGAAUGAUCCAGAUGGAAAUCUU
rnacentral:lncRNA from 1 species